GAUCAAGCUACAAAGGGCGCCCGGUGAAUGCCCUGGCACUAGGAGCCGAUGAAGGACGUGAUAAGCUGCGAUAAGCUACAUGUAGGCGCACACAGCCUGGGAUAAGGAGAUUUCCGAAUGGGGAAAACCAACUAGUUAUGCUAGAUACUGUAUACCGAAUACAUAGGUAUAUGGAGGUACACCUGGGGAACUGAAACAUCUAAGUACCCAGAGGAAGAGAAAGAAAAUUCGAUUCCCUAAGUAGCGGCGAGCGAAAGGGGAAGAGCCCAAACCAGGAACUUGUUCCUGGGGUUGCGGAUAGAUCAUAACGCUUUGAUUUCUUUAGUUGAAGAGAACUGGAAAGUUCCGUCGUAGAAGGUAAUAACCCUGUAGGCGAAAAGGAAAGAAAAGCAGAUCUACUCCAGAGUACCACGAGACACGUGAAACCUUGUGGGAAGCUGGGAGGACCAUCUCCCAAGGCUAAAUACUACCUAGUGACCGAUAGUGAAGCAGUACCGUGAGGGAAAGGGGAAAAGAACCCCGGAAGGGGAGUGAAAUAGAAUCUGAAACCGUGGGCCUACAAUCGGUCGGAGCACAUUAAAGGGUGACGGCGUACUUUUUGUAGAACGGGCCAGCGAGUUACGAUAUAUAGCAAGGGUAAGCACUUAUGGUGUGGAGCCGAAGGGAAACCGAGUCUGAAUAGGGCAACUAGUUGUAUAUUGUAGACCCGAAACCGAGUGACCUAUCCAUGGCCAGGAUGAAGCGGAAGUAAAAUUCCGUGGAGGUCCGAACCACGUUGGUGUUGAAAAACCAUGGGAUGAGCUGUGGAUAGCGGAGAAAUUCCAAUCGAACUCGGAGAUAGCUGGUUCUCCUCGAAAUAGCUUUAGGGCUAGCGUCGGGGAAUUGAGUAGUGGGGGUAGAGCACUGAAUGGGCUAGGGGCUGACAACAGUUACUGAACCCUAUCAAACUCCGAAUGCCAUAUACUUGUACCCCGGCAGUCAGACUACGAAUGAUAAGAUCCGUGGUCAAAAGGGAAACAGCCCAGACCAUCAGCUAAGGUCCCAAAGUGUAAGUUAAGUGGGAAAGGAUGUGGGAUUUCUAAGACAACUAGGAUGUUGGCUUAGAAGCAGCCACUCAUUUAAAGAGUGCGUAAUAGCUCACUAGUCGAGAGAUCCUGCGCCGAAGAUGUAACGGGGCUCAAACUUACCACCGAAGCUAUGGAUGUGUACUUUGUACACGUGGUAGAGGAGCUUUCUG
rnacentral:rRNA from 1 species